AUUGAACGCUGGCGGCAGGCCUAACACAUGCAAGUCGAGCGGAUGAAGGGAGCUUGCUCCUGGAUUCAGCGACGGACGGGUGAGUAAUGCCUAGGAAUCUGCCUGGUAGUGGGGGAUAACGUCCGGAAACGGGCGCUAAUACCGCAUACGUCCUGAGGGAGAAAGUGGGGGAUCUUCGGACCUCACGCUAUCAGAUGAGCCUAGGUCGGAUUAGCUAGUUGGUGGGGUAAAGGCCUACCAAGGCGACGAUCCGUAACUGGUCUGAGAGGAUGAUCAGUCACACUGGAACUGAGACACGGUCCAGACUCCUACGGGAGGCAGCAGUGGGGAAUAUUGGACAAUGGGCGAAAGCCUGAUCCAGCCAUGCCGCGUGUGUGAAGAAGGUCUUCGGAUUGUAAAGCACUUUAAGUUGGGAGGAAGGGCAGUAAGUUAAUACCUUGCUGUUUUGACGCUACCAACAGAAUAAGCACCGGCUAACUUCGUG
rnacentral:rRNA from 1 species